UACGUAGGGUGCAAACGUUGCUCGGAAUUAUUGGGCGUAAAGCGCACGUAGGCGGCUUUUCAAGUCGGAUGUGAAAUCCCUCGGCUUAACCAAGGAAGUGCAUCCGAAACUGGAGAGCUUGAGUACUUAAGAGGAUCGCGGAAUUCCCGGUGUAGAGGUGAAAUUCGUAGAUAUCGGGAGGAACACCAGUGGCGAAGGCGGCGAUCUGGGAAGAUACUGACGCUGAGGUGCGAAAGCGUGGGGAGCAAACAGG
rnacentral:rRNA from 1 species